ACUCCCUUCUCUUUCAACAAUACGUAAAACAAAAAAAAAAAAAAAUAAACAACCAAACUCCCUCCUUCAAUCUCACGUAAAAAGCAAACCCUCAAGAACUCCUCCUCCCUCACGUUGCCUCCAAGCUCAGCCGCCACCACCGCCGGACCAGUCGCCGCCGCCCGCCGCCGUACUCGCCGCCAGCACAGCCACCUUGCCGUCGCCUGACGGCGACCUUUGUACGCCAACCACCACCACCGGUGCGCCGUCGUGCCCCUCCUUGCCGUCGUUCCACCGCUGCCGCGCCUGUGCUCCGCCGGCCAGCAUCUCCUUGAAUCCUUCUUGGUUAUUUCUUAAACCCUAAGUAAACUAAUUAUUUUAAUUAUAUUUUGUUAAUUUGAUUUAUGCUUUGAUUUAAUAAAUUUGUAAUUUUUAUGACUUAAUUGGAAUUUCAGAUUUAUAUAUUAUGUUUAAACAAUAUAUUUAUUUUUCAGAUUAUCUAAAUACAUUGAAAUAUUGAUUUUUGAUUAUUUAAAGUAUGAAUUUCAAGGUUUAAAUGGUUGUAAAUCAUGGUAGGACAAU